AUCUAUAUAGUUUAUAAAAACAUUACAUUUUCACUGUAAAGAUAAUAUAAUUUAUUUAUAGGUA
rnacentral:tRNA from 1 species